GACCCAAUGGCAUAGUGGUUAGUGCGCUUGCUUUACAUGUGGUUGUUAGAGUAAGAAGAUUUCAGCAAGAGGCCCGUGUUCGAUUCACGGUUGGGUCA